UGGGGAACAUUUCCGAGAACAGUUCAUCCGCCUGCGUCCAAGCGGUCAGCAUCUCUCUGUCCGGCAAUACGUCGAACACCUAGGCGGCGCGGGCCCCGGCGGCGACCACAGGAGCGCUCCCCAUUCUUCUGGGUCAGCUAGGAUGAACUGUAUAAAGCAGUCCAUCUUGAGGCACAUCAGGUUGAGGGCCUCUGCUGGAACACGUGCUUUUGGAGCCGAGGAUGGAAGUGUAAUGGAGCAACUGACCCGGCUGAUGUGCACGACGACAACUCAUAGCCCGGAUCAGAUAGUUGAUAGAGUGGUCAGGCUUGUGAAAAAAUUCGAUAAGAUCGAUGCUAGUAAGGUGACUGAAACUUCGGAUUUCCAGAAAGACUUGUCCCUGGAUAGCUUAGACAAGGUGGAACUUGUCAUGGCUCUCGAGCAGGAAUUCUCCAUCGAAAUCCCUGAAGAGGAAGCAGACAAGCUCUCUUGCUGUGCCGACAUUGCUAGAUUCAUAGCUUCUGGUUCUGUAAAAGCUGCCAAGAGCUCGUGAGUUCAUUUGCUGUGAUCGGGAGACGGGUGUUUCACUGAUGUCUUUGUUUGAUUCAACUGAAUUGAGAUUCGAAGUUUUCAGUCAUUUUGAUUUGGAGGAAAAUAGAGAAUCUGUACGCAAGGAUUGCAAAUUGCUGUAGCAAGGGAAACUCCAUUAUCAGGUCUUGGUUCUGAUUUAUAAUUUGCAUCAAUGUUCAGCCUUUGUGUGACUCAUGUCACCUUGGACAUAGAUAAGAACCUCUUUUGCCAUUAGCAUACCGGUCUAUAAAAAUACUCACACGCACACAAACCCAACGCGAUAUUCACACUCCCUCUGUUUCUUUGGGCCAUGUACCUUCUGCAACUCUUUCUUCUGGAUCAUUUUAGUUCUCUGAAUUCUAUUUUACAAGUAAACUGUGUGAAGUUUGCAAGACCACUAGCUCAACAUGUGACUGAAGCGCCAUCGAAUGAGCCGUGUCCUCAGGUGUCGGAAUGCUUAAUUUAAAUAGCUUUCUGUGGGGCUGCUCGAUGUCUUCAUGCAUGCUUCUGUAGGCUCGGCUGCUGAAUGCAGAAGUCUUAUUGUCCCCGCCUCAUAAGUUCGGAUCCCAUUCCCAACCGAAGAAAGCCUCACUCUCUUGUGCUUUCUGAUAUGUGCCGGUCGGCAGAGCGAGUUCCUCGGCAUUCGAACGAGGUUGACCGAACAUCUCUUGUUCAGGUUGGGGACGGCGUGGAGCUCUGAAGGAAGAUCAAUGAAGAAGUCCCCAUUUUCAUCUGUCAAGCCGUGAAUUCGGCUAGAUUUGCUUUCUUUAUCAUCGCCAUGGCAAUUGACGGCCACUGAAGCACCUGCACAGGUUGUUUCGAAGGGGUAGAAUGGCAUGUCCCUCUGUCAUGAUUCUCGCGGGCAUAGUAGGCCUCCAUCAAGGGAACCCCAAUGGCUAUGCCCGGGUCCUCGGUGGCCACGGCCGGGUCUCAAGUAGUGCCCAGUAAACCGGUGCCCAUGCCCGGGAACUCAGCACCUGCACCCAAGUCACUUGCGCCCGAGCCCAGGUCCAUUGAGGCCCGACCCGGUUCAUCGGUGGCUGGGCCCAGGUCCACAAAGGCUGAGCCCGAGAUCCCGGUGCCCAUGCAGGGUAAAUUCCAAUUUUUUCACAGGACUGUUUCGCUCAGAAUCAUUUUCAUUUCUUUCAUUGUUUCGGACUCCGACCCAAAGACAAAUUCAGCAUAAAUUAUUCC